UACGUAGGGUGCAAGCGUUUAAUCGGAAUUACUGGGCGUAAAGCGUGCGCAGGCGGUUAUGCAAGACAGAUGUGAAAUCCCCGGGCUCAACCUGGGAACUGCAUUUGUGACUGCAUAGCUAGAGUACGGUAGGGGGGGGAUGGAAUUCCGCGUGUAGCAGUGAAAUGCGUAGAUAUGCGGAGGAACACCGAUGGCGAAGGCAAUCCCCCUGGACCUGUACUGACGC
rnacentral:rRNA from 1 species